AACCUUUUCACCAGGUCCUUGAAAUACAAGCUGCAGGAAGCUAGAACAUUUUGGUGGACUUCAAACUCUUUGCCUUCAACAAUAAUUUUCAGGUUUCCCUCUCUCUCUGCGUGAUGAAUCCAUACAUCAAGAGUUUCACUUUUUUAGCUCAAUUGCUAAUGUUACUAACGGAGCAUUUCAGGGGGUUGCAAACAAGACCGAAAACUGGAGCUGAGCAACUGCUGCUGCCGUGGAAGCCUAAUGUAACCACAGCAGAAGUUCCUGCAAAAGAUUUUCUUAAAAGGGCAAGAAGAGGAAGACCUUACCAAAAGCAGACAAAAAAAAAGUUUGUACUGUAUGUAGAUAAAAACCUGCUUUUGUUCAUUCAAUUGAAUAAAAUGAAAAUGGAAAAAAAGCUUUGAAGCUCAAAAAGUUUGAAGUUGUGGGUGGCUUGAAGGCAGCUGUGUUGGGCCUUCUCGCUCGGCCUUCGGACUGAGGCAUGUACUGGCGUCCGAUUAUGGGUGUGAGAAAAUGUCAGCUAGCUGCCCAGCUCGUCUUUCAC